CCUAGUACACUUACCAUAAUACUUUAAAUCUCCUUCCACAGGUCAGAUGCCAGGUCCAGGUUCCAUGAUCCCUGGGCAACCCAUUCCAGGCCGCAUGAUUCCCACUGUUGCAGCCAACAUCCACCCCCCUGGGAGUGGCCCAGCCGCUCCUGGUAUGCCUCCAAUGCCAGGAAACAUCUUAGGACCCCGGGUACCACUCACGGCACCUAAUGGCAUGUAUGCCCCUCCGCCGCAGCAGCAGCAGCCGCCACCACCACCACCGCCUGCAGAUGGAGUCCCUCCGCCUCCUGCUCCAGGCCCUCCAGCGUCGGCGGCCCCCUAGCCUGGAAGACGGGGACAGCGUCCACACCCAGCGCCGCCAGCUGCCGGGCAGAUGAUGAGACUUGAGUUCCUCAGCUUCCUUGGGUUUCUUUUAGGAUUUUUCUUCUCGCGGCCCCAAGCACGCAUCCCAUAUUUCCCUGUUCCUCUUGCCAACCCCUCUCCGUGCUCCCACACCUCUUGUGUUAGGUCCUCUGCCGGCCUGCCGGGAGGCGGGGAGCCUGCAGUGACAGUGCGCCCUGGUCAUCCUAAUGGUAACCUGCGUCCCCCCCCCCCCCCAUCCUGGUGUGGGGUAUACUGACAGUUUCUCUGCAGGUCCUAUCAACAUUCGAAUUUUAUGUCUAUUGUUUUUGCUCUCCUGCAGUUUUUGGCUUUGUCUUAUGCUUAUGUGGAUAAUGCUUUAUAAUCAUUAUGUUUUCUUUUUUCUUUUGUCAUUGUUGCUUUAAAUGGGAGCAUCCUAAGUUCAUAGGAACCAAAAAAUGGUGAUGGGCAGAGGGAAUAGCCAGAGGGGACAAACCUAAAGGCAUUAUAAGUGACCUUAUUUCUGCUAAUCUGAGCUAAGAUUGGUGCUGAUGGUGAAGUUGCAUGAGACUUUUGCCCCACAUAGACACACCAAAAUUCAAAGAGAUGGGGACGGGACCCCACUGAUUUUAUUCCUGGUGAGGAAUGUGAGGACCUCCACCCUGUGUGGCAGAACACGCCCCUUUAGUCCCCGGUAGGGGUAUGCACAAGCAUUAGAGCAGACCCACUCCUUCCCCAGGCCCACCGAUUCUGGCUUUCUAUGCAGGUGCUUCGUUGGAUUAGGAGUGGGGCUUGGGGGAGGCAUUCCUUUGUUCCCUAGACUAGCCAGGAACAUUUUAAGAGCCUAUGGCAAUGACUACCCAGUGAGUCUAGUCCACUAGUCACUGCUUUGUAUUCAUUCUUUGCCCCGCCUUUAAAAAAAAAAAAAAAAAAACUCUAAAACGGAAAAAAAAAAAGUGAGUAGAUAGUGCUAAACAUUUUAGCUCAUGGAAGUUGGUUAGGAUUGGCUGGGGGUUCAAGUCCCCAAACUACCUCUUGCAGUCCAGGGUGAGUGGGGUUUAGUGAAGCGGUACUUUAGGUUUGGGAUGGGAUUGGAGAAGUGGGGCAGGAUCAAGGGCCUCUCGUACCUUCUCUCUUCCCUUCCUGAGAUCUCACAUUCCAUCUGUCGCAAGGUUAUCAGGAAGAUUCUGGGGGCACCAAGGAACUCAGUUGGCAAUCAGAGCAUCAUGCUUUGAACUUUGGGGUACUCAGACUGGGAGAUCAGAAUGCCAUUCCAGAUGAGGAGCCACAAAAAUGCCUUAACUUGAGCUCAUUUCUACCCCUGCUGAUGAAUGACUUGAGAAUUCUUGGUUUUCUCUUCUUGUCCUUCCUCCGUCCCCUCUAUCCUUCCAUGGAUGGGGGACGGCUGUGUUUGGUGGAGCUUGAUUUCCAAAGUACCUGGCCUCUUCACAUCACAUUUUCAAGUGGCAGUUUCAUUAUUUAGAAUGCAAAGGAACACCUUUUGGAUAUCUUUUUCUAUAUAUUCUGUAAAGCUUUACAUAAGAGAGGGUAUAGGGAGGUGUUUGUAAAACACCUCAGUUCUUUUUUCCUUAGUAUCAGAAAGCAAAAAAUAAAUAAAUAAAACCACAAUUAAGAUUUGCCUUU
rnacentral:lncRNA from 1 species